rfam:Caenorhabditis brenneri strain PB2801 C_brenneri-6.0.1_Cont23.20, whole genome shotgun sequence.
CCAACGGCCCUCUUUAGGGCCACAAAUAUCCAUAAUCCGAACUUUU